rnacentral:lncRNA from 1 species
GCUGAGUGUACCGCCAUUGCCAGCCUUUCAUUCUGUCACAGCUCAGGACAGGGUAGAGUCCUUGGGCCUGGCCAAGGAAAUGCUGCAAGACAACGCCAGCUAUGAGGAGGUGCCUGGGCACACCCCACUGGAUCCAUGCCUACCCAGCCGCCCUUUGCUCCCUCUCACCUGUGAUCCCCAGGCCAAGUGGCCACGGGGUGGGUCUGUGAGCAAUUCGGCAUUCAAGGCCGCAUGUGCAGUUAGCAUCUAGCACAUGUUAGCCGUACACAGUGAAUUCCAGCUGUGAAUUCUGGCCACUUCAGUGCCUUUUCCAGAAGUCUGGCCUGGGAACAUUGAUUCUCUUGUAGGAUACCUGUGCUUACUGGGCCAUCCUGCUAUCCUCUGAACUCAGGUAGUUAUGGCACCUGCCUGACAUCCUCCCUCUGGGUCUCUCUUUGGACAUCUCCACGGAUGCUUCAAACUGACCCAGUCCUCUAUGAACUGAGGCUCUCUUACCCUUCCAUACCUCCAAGCCUGUCCUUCCUGCUGAAGCAAACAGUGGCUGUUCUGUCACUGCUCUGUCUCUAAAGCAGGUGACAGGAGAUGAACUUGACAUCACUCACUCGAGUCCUCGCUUCCGGCCAACAGUGUCUGGCUCUUUAAAGCAGAAUGUAUCCUUUUUCUAUGGCUUCUAGAUGCAUCAGAGCCCGCUUAGCCCCCACAGUCAUGUUCCUCAACCCCUAAGCUGUUCUUGUCAGCCGAGAGAGAUCUACUUCCGGAUGUAAAUUAGAUGCUGUGACUCCCUGCUUAGAGGUUCCAGUGUUUGUCACUGCACUGGGAACAAUCCAAUCCGUGCUUUCCGUUCCUUUAUCUCCCAGGGGUUUCCAGCCACACUAAUCACCCCUCCCUGAACAUCUGUCACACUCUCUCCUCCUCCAGGGACAUUGCCCUUGCUCUUCAGUCUGCCCCAGAUUCUCUUCCCAGGCCCUUUGGCUAACUCAGCAUACAGGUCACUUCCUCGAGAGGGUUCCCCAAUAACCCCGUUCACAUGGGUUCCAUUUACCAGCCAGUGGCUUAUUUCUUUCAUGAUUUGUAUGAUGAAAACAAUCUUCACUUUAGUGAGUUAGUUUCUACUUGGUUUCCAUCCUGUUGGUCAGUUUGGUAGCUUGAUGGGAAAGCAGAAGCUGGUCUUCCAUUUGGGUCACCAUC